rnacentral:rRNA from 1 species
UUGACGGAGAGUUUGAUCCUGGCUCAGGACGAACGCUGGCGGCGGGCCUAACACAUGCAAGUCGAACGCACUCGACCCUCGGGUCACAUGAGUGAGUGGCGAACGGGUGAGUAACACGUGAGAAACCUGCCCCGAAGACUGGAACAACCCGAGGAAACUCGGGCUAAUACCGGAUAUCCCCAUCGGAUCGCAUGGUCUGAUGAGGAAAUGCUCCGGCGCUUCGGGAGGGUCUCGCGGCCUAUCAGCUAGUUGGUGAGGUAACGGCUCACCAAGGCAACGACGGGUAGCUGGUCUGAGAG